ACUUUGUAUUACGCGCGGGAAAUUGAUACCUUUUUCAGAAAGAGGUAUCAAUUUCCCGUGCGUAAUACAAAAU